rnacentral:tRNA from 1 species
AGGCAGUGGAUUGUGAAUCCACCAUGCGCGGGUUCAAUUCCCGUCGUUCUCC